rnacentral:lncRNA from 1 species
GAGGCCAAGAAGCUGUUCUGUACCCCAUGUGAACUCAUAUCCCGCAACAUUUCCUGUGCUUAGAGCCCCUAAAUAUCACCUCAGUGUCUUAAAAACAAUUCCUUCCCCCAUCCCUUGAGUUAGCUUCAGUAAUUCUCUGUUCCUUGUAAUUAUGAAGGCUCUAACUUAAGCCAUAAUGUUGUAUUUGUUACAGUAGUGAUGUCCCAAAAUAAGGUUAUUAGAACUACUUACACGAUACUAAUAGAAGGAUGCUAAGCUGGCAAACAGAAAUAAUUAAAACUUGCAAAAAAAAAAAAACUUGCAAAAAUAGGGACGUCCAGGUGGCUCAGCGUCUGCCUUUGGCUCAGGUCAUGAUCCCAGAGUCUCAGGAUCAAGUCCCACGUCGGGCUCCUGGCAUGGAGCCUGCUUCUCCCUCUGCCUGUGUCCCUGCCUCUCUCUCUCUCUCUCUGUUUCUCAUGAAUAAAUAAAUAAAAUCUUUUUUUAAAAAAAACUUGCAAAAAUAUAAAAAUAAGCUUUAUAAAAUGAAAUCAGUCCAGUGGCUAAGAAUACUUGAAAAACAUUCAUGCCACAAACAUUAAGUGUGUAACAGGUGCUGGCAUUAUGCUAGCCAGGAGAUAGCAACACGAGACAUGCUCAGCUCUCUUCAGGAAUCAACAGUCUAAAAAAAAAGUGCAGCCAGUACAGUGAAAACUCUAAAGGAGAUCCAAACAAAGUGGAAAGAGAGCAUGUGAAAAGGAGACAUUUUGAACUCCGACAUGAAGAGUCAAUAGAACUUUGCCAGCAAUAAAUGAGAAGAUUCUGCAGAAAAUUUGUACCCGAGUUGCUGAGUGGGAGGAGGAAGGCAUUUUAGGCAGGAGGAAGAAAUGUGCAAAUGCAUGAAGGCAGGAAAAAACACAUUCAUGGAAUUAUGAUUCUGUGAAAUACAAGAAAAGACAACAGAGGACGAAGUUGAAUAGGUAGGCAGAGCUAAAUGGUGAAGGAAAGGAGAUUUUAUUCUGUAACUAGAAGCCCUCGGGAACUACGAGUGCUAGAAAGAUAUGAUUACAUUUGCACCUGACAAAUUUUGCUCUGGUGGUGGGGUGGUUUAAACAGAGCCCUACAGUAGUCAGAAGUGGGAUUUACUGGGUGGUGAGGUGGUGAGUGGGAAUCAUGCUUGUGGGGUCUGGAGAGAAGAGGUGGAAAUAUAGAGGAAGAUCUGGAUAUGUGAGUUUGGGGGUAAAAUCAUCAAGACUUAACCAUCGAUAAAGAUGAGAUUGAUAGUUUGUUUAGACAAACAAAAAAAGCUGAAAAAUAAUCAUUAAUAUUUGGAAGUAACAUUGUUGUCUCCAGAAAGAAUUUAUACAUCCCUCUUUAAUCAUCAGAACCCCAGUGUGGGAGAGCUACUGUUAUUAUCAAAACCCAUUUUGUGGAAAAUAAUAAGUCUCUGAGAGCUGAAGUGGUUUGCUCAAGGUCACUUAUACUUUAUAAGAGGCGGAGCCAGAGCUAAAAUUGACUUUCUCUGACUUUCUCCCUUCACCCAGUCGUGUUGAUGAAAAUCAGAUGAACAGACAAGAGAACACAGGAAUAGCUUCCUCAAGGUAGCUCUACUGUUGAAAAAUCUACAAGACAAAAUGUUAAACAUCUAUCAGAGUAUUUUUAUAGAAUUAAACUAAUUGUUCACUUGUUCAUUAAAAUGCUCAAAGAACUAAAACAUUCAGGACCCAAGUUUGAUUCUUUUCUUUCAUAUAUUGAUUUUGUGGUUGAAUUCAGAAGUAAGAGUCUUCAUUUUUCUUAUUUUGCUCUCUUUGAAGAAAAAUGACAUUUUAUAGUUUUGUGAGCAGGGUUAUUUUUCUUGUCGCGAUUUUGUACUCUGUUUCAAAAAUGGCAUGUGGUGCAAUUCACAGUGCCCUGGGAGCCAGCUUCUGAUGAUACUGCACUGAGUCUUUAUGUAACACUGCUCUUCUAAGGAGUACAAUAUUCUCUACCAACAUUAAACUCACUAAUCUUUAUGACGUCCUUGUCAUUUCAAAAGGCAUCAAGAAUUGUAUUCCGUCCUUGCAAACAGAGAAACUCAGUCUUAAAGUGGUUAAGUCUGUUCACGAGUUUUUCAAAGUAGAUCAUGCUAUUCUUUUUUAUUUUCAAUCCACUAGACACAUCAGGCUCCAGCUUGAGGAAAAAAUGUAUUGUUGUUUUUAGAUUUAUGUUCACACUCACAUAACCUGUUUCAAUACAUUCAAUUGCCUACUAUGGAUGAGUUACUGUGUAAGUUAUUUUGUUUAAUCCUUAGGAAUGCUCCAGUCUUUUACUUACUCAGGUAAUGAUCAAUGGCAUUAAUUUAGUAGAAGAGAAA